GAUUUCUGGUUUGAUACAUUUUGCCGGCCACGGUUUCGUGUGUUAGUGCUUGAUGUUCUGACCAUCCUUCCAAUCGCUAUUUACCUUUCUUCAUUGAUUGGUAAGUGGUAUUGGAUCUUUUACUUUGAAAAAAUUAGAGUGUUUCAAGCAGGCUUUAUGCUAUGAAUACAUUAGCAUGGAAUAAUAAUUUAGGACUUCGGUUCUAUUUUGUUGGUUUCUAGGACUGAAGUAAUGAUUGAUAGGGAUAGUUGGGGGUGCUAGUAUUCAGCGGCCAGAGGUGAAAUUCUCGGAUUCGCUGAAGACUAACUUAUGCGAAAGCAUU
rnacentral:rRNA from 1 species